AUGGGGAGCAAGCGCCGCCGAUGCGUGGCCCUAGAGGAGGAUCAGGUCGAGGAGAUUGGGCACUUGGGUCUCGAGGACGAUGGACUGGUCAGGGCUGCGGCCGCAGCAGCCGCUCGUCAGGCCGACGAGGUGGAGAUUGAAAAGUUAACUGAGGAGGAGAUUGAAAGGGCAUACCAGACCGUCUUUCAACUUGAUGAGGAGUAUCGGAACGUCAUAAUUGAGGAAGCUUUUUAUCAGUCUGAAAUCAAGAUGCUACAAGCUAGAAAGGCUUCUAUUGAUGACAGGCUUUCAAAGCUGAAGCAGAAGACAAAGGAGCCCGAUUCAGACAGUAUAAAACAUAUCAGAUCAGGAACAAGGAAGGUCAUCGAACUCGAAGAGUCGAUUGAUGCACUGAAAAGUGAACUCAGCAAGACCUGUCUUCGUAAGGCAAAAGUUGAAGCUGUAUACAUAUCCUCCAUGUCCAUCAUUGAGCAUCACGUGGCAAACGAAGGAGAGGGUCUGUUUCUUGGUUGCCUAGCUUAUGUAAUGAUGAUGGAGUGA
rnacentral:rRNA from 1 species